GACGUAGGGCGCGAGCGUUGUCCGGAUUUAUUGGGCGUAAAGAGCUCGUAGGCGGCUUGUCACGUCGAUUGUGAAAGCCCGGGGCUUAACUCCGGGUCUGCAGUCGAUACGGGCUAGCUAGAGUGUGGUAGGGGAGAUCGGAAUUCCUGGUGUAGCGGUGAAAUGCGCAGAUAUCAGGAGGAACACCGGUGGCGAAGGCGGAUCUCUGGGCCAUUACUGACGCUGAGGAGCGAAAGCGUGGGGAGCAAACAGG
rnacentral:rRNA from 1 species